UACGAAGGGGGCUAGCGUUGCUCGGAAUCACUGGGCGUAAAGCGCACGUAGGCGGGUCGUUAAGUCAGGGGUGAAAUCCUGGAGCUCAACUCCAGAACUGCCUUCGAUACUGGCGAUCUUGAGUCUGGGAGAGGUGAGUGGAACUCCGAGUGUAGAGGUGAAAUUCGUAGAUAUUCGGAAGAACACCAGUGGCGAAGGCGGCUCACUGGCCCGGUACUGACGCUGAGGUGCGAAAGCGUGGGGAGCAAACAGG
rnacentral:rRNA from 1 species